rnacentral:misc_RNA from 1 species
GGGGGCGAAGGGUGGAUCCCUCCUUACCAAAGCCUGAUGUAGGUAAUGUGCAGUGUCCACAACAGAUUGUCUGAUGAAAAAUAAGGAGAAAGCGCUCAUGAUGAUGUUGUGAGUCGUGGGUUCAUGCUGCUGCCCUGAAAUGGGAGGUGAGGGUUACUCGGAUUUCCUGUCCCCAUAAAAAGUUUCCCCCGCGACACUGCCCUUUCCGGCUCAAACCGGAGGUUCUAAUCACCUUGGACACGCCAUACCUAUACGAAAGAAACUCAUUAUCACCGGUUAUCUUGAAUAUGACUUUUCCGACUCUUGGAUUCUAAAUCAUCUGGAACAUUGCGCCAUUUGCUCAAACAUGAACCGCGGCGUUUAACCGCAUCUCUCCCCGCCAUACUGACAUGCGCUUUGGCUGUCUCAGAGCCACUCAGAUAAUUAUUGCUCGAAAGAGAAUCUGAAAACGUCUGGUAUGGCAAGGUAGCGACCAAAAUAUAUCUCUUCGCAUAACACUAAUAUGUGAUAUGGGUGUCUCAGACUCUCUCAUAUUCUCACCGCGCAAGAUGCUUGAUGACUCCUACACACCGUGAGGUUGUGAGACUAAGCGAACACGGGGACUGCCUGGACACCUUGGCACA